rnacentral:hammerhead_ribozyme from 1 species
AUCCAGCUAACGAGUCCCAAAUCGGAUGAAACGCGCGUCCUGGAU